rnacentral:rRNA from 1 species
GGACUACAAGGGUAUCUAAUCCCGUUCGCUCCCCUGGCUUUCGCGUCUCAGCGUCAGCAGACGUCCAGGACCUCGCUUUCGCCACGGGCGUUCCUUCCGAUCUCAACGCAUUUCACCGCUCCACCGGAAGUUCCAGGUCCCCCUACGUCCCUCGAGGGCGGUCGUAUCCGUGCCCGUUCCCCGGUUGAGCCGGGGGAUUUCAGCACCGGACGUGCCGUCCCGCCUACACGCGCUUUAAGCCCAGUGAUUCCGAAUAACGUUCGCACGGUUCGUCUUACCGCGGCUGCUGGCAC